rnacentral:rRNA from 1 species
UGUGAGCGACGAAGGCCUUAGGGUCGUAAAGCUCUGUUGUUAGGGACGAAGGGCGAAGGGUUAAUAGCCCUUAGCCUGACGGUACCUUUCGAGGAAGCCCCGGCUAACUACGUGCCAGCAGCCGCGGUAAUACGUAGGGGGCGAGCGUUGUCCGGAAUUAUUGGGCGUAAAGGGCGCGUAGGCGGCCUGGUAAGUCUGCUGUGAAACCUUGGGGCUCAACCCCAAGCGUGCAGUGGAUACUGUCAGGCUAGAGGAUGGUAGAGGCCAGUGGAAUUCCCGGUGUAGCGGUGAAAUGCGCAGAUAUCGGGAGGAACACCAGUAGCGAAGGCGGCUGGCUGGGCCAUUCCUGACGCUGAGGCGCGAAAGCUAGGGGAGCGAACAGGAUUAGAUACCCUGGUAGUCCUAGCCGUAAACGAUGAACACUAGGUGUGGGGGGAGUCGAAUCCCUCCGUGCCGAAGCCAACGCGUUAAGUGUUCCGCCUGGGGAGUACGGCCGCAAGGCUAAAACUCAAAAGAAUUGACGGGGGCCCGCACAAGCAGCGGAGCAUGUUCUUUAAUUCGAUGCAACGCGAAGAACCUUACCUGGGCUUGACAUGGCACUGCAAGCGCACGGAAACGUGUGACCUUCGAGGGUGUGCCACAGAUGCUGCAUGGCUGUCGUCAGCUCGUGUCGUGAGAUGUUGGGUUAAGUCCCGCAACGAGCGCAACCCCUGUCGUGUGUUGCCAGCAUUAAGUUGGGGACUCACGCGAGACUGCCGGUGACAAACCGGAGGAAGGUGGGGAUGACGUCAUGUCAUCAUGGCUCUUACGUCCAGGGCUAGAAACGUGCUACAAUGGCGUACACAAAGGGCAGCAAGACCGCAAGGUGGAGCGAAUCUCAUCAAAGUACGUCUAAGUUCGGAUCGGGGUCUGCAAUUCGACCCCGUGAAGCUGGAGUUGCUAGUAAUCGCGGAUCAGAAUGCCGCGGUGAAUGCGUUCCCGGGCCUUGUACACACCGCCCGUCACACCACGGGGGUAGGCAAUACCCGAAGUCGGCGCAGCCAACCCUUCGCGGGAGGCGGUCGGCGAAGGUAGGGCUUGCGACUGGGGUG